GUGAGGAAUAUUGGACAAUGGGCGCAAGCCUGAUCCAGCCAUGCCGCGUGCAGGAAGACGCAUCUAUGGUGUGUAAACUGCUUUUGUACGGGAAGAAACACUCCCUCGUGAGGGAGCUUGACGGUACCGUAAGAAUAAGGAUCGGCUAACUCCGUGCCAGCAGCCGCGGUAAUACGGAGGAUCCAAGCGUUAUCCGGAAUCAUUGGGUUUAAAGGGUCCGUAGGCGGUUUAAUAAGUCAGUGGUGAAAGCCCAUCGCUCAACGAUGGAACGGCCAUUGAUACUGUUAGACUUGAAUUACAAGGAAGUAACUAGAAUAUGUAGUGUAGCGGUGAAAUGCUUAGAUAUUACAUGGAAUACCAAUUGCGAAGGCAGGUUACUACUUGUGGAGUGACGCUGAUGGACGAAAGCGUGGGGAGCGAACAGGAUUAGAAACCCGUGUAGUCC
rnacentral:rRNA from 1 species